UUUUCUGUUACUGUGUAUGUUUGCUGAGGAUGAUGGCUUCCAGCUCCAUCCAUGUCCCUGCAAAGGACGUGAUCUUAUUCCUUUUUAUGGCUGCAUAGUAUUCCAUGGUAUCCGAAAUGGUCUAGGAGCCAGACUCUGGAGUACACUCUGCUGUUGGGUUAUCAGGGUCUUGCUUUGACACAGCGUAUUGUAAAAAAGUGAGAAGAGUCUUUUGAAUUCUUCUUUCAAGUGCUUGUCCAGAUGAGAAAAUUUGAAGAUCAUUUGGACCUGGAUGUAUUGCAGAGCUGAAAAGUUUGGAGCCAACUCUGAAGAAUUCACCGUGUUCACUAUGGAGUGGGGAGUGGAGUUUUAGAAAGAGACAAUCAUACCUGAAGGAAUUCUCUAUUGUGAUCCAAAUAAAUCAUGGGAGAUUUCUAAGUUUUGAAUAGCACAGUGUUUCAACAUCCUCCAAGGAAAUUACAAGAAGAAUAAGGAAUAAUGUAAAUGGUUGGCCAUUCGAUGCUUCUCUAGAUACCAAUAGUUUCAUUAUACUAGCUUAAGCACUUUAAAAAGAGAAAAUCAAAGUAAAGUCUUAUUUUCCACUCACUGCUUUUUUGGGGAGACAAUUGUCAUUUCUUAAGUAUUUUUGCAUUUCAUGCUGAAGAGGAGAUCUGAUAAAUCACUUAUUCACUUACAGAAGGGCACGUCCUCUGGGUGGUUUUUCCAGUCAUGCGCAUAGAUUUCUACUGAUCCAUGCACCCUUUUGCCCUGUUCCCAUUAUGAAACAAUGGCUUUUAUUUGUUAUGUGACUGACCAGGGAUGGGGUACAUUCUGCAACUACAGAACAAAAUGAAGUCAUUGGCCUAAACAUGGACUAAACCUUUAACCCUGACCUCAUUAGUAGUUUGACUAAUGUGGGAAACUACCAGAAGCUUACAUUUAGAAUUCUCCCAAAUCACAUGAUAUGGCAGAUAACAUGAUUUAAACAUCAUCAUGAUUAAAAUGACUGUUUGUGAAAUAAAACAUUGGAAAACAGUCUAUUAUUAAUUCAGUAUUGAUGACUUUCUACCUUUUGAAGUCCAUAAAUUAUUUAAUUAACUAUUCUAUUAACAACAGCAGCAGCAACAACUAUAGCUAACAUUUAUUGAGGGUUUUUAUUUGCAAGUUUUAUUGGCUAAAUUAUGUCUCUUCUGCCAAUUAAUAUAUUGAAGUCUAAACCCCAGUAACUCAGAAUGUGACUGUAAUUGGAGAUAGAGUCCUUAAAGAGGCAAAGUUAAAUGAAAUCAUUAGGGUGGGCUCUAAUUAAAUAUGACUGAUAUCGUUAUGAGAAAAGGAGGUUAAAACGCAGAUACACAUGCACACAGGGAAGACGAUGUGAGGACACCAGGAGAAGAUGGCCAUCUAUAAGCCAGGGAGAGAAACCUCAGAAGGAACCAGAACCGUUAACACCCUGAUCUCGGAUUCUAGCUUCCAGAAUUGAAAACAUAAAUUUCUGUUUUUUAAGCCACCCGGUCUGUGAUAUUUUAUUAUGGCAGCUCUAGCAAACUAAUCCAGCCAGGCAUGUGCUAAUUGUCUUACAUUCAUUAUCUUCCUUGCUUUUCAUAAUAACCUAUGGAAUGCAUACUAUCAUAAUCUCACCUUUGUAAAUGAGGAAUCAUAGGUGUAGACAAUUUUUAAGGGCUAGUGAAUGAGAAGGCCAGAGUGAGAACCACUGCAGAGAGAAGUCAGCAUCCACAGACUUAGCCAUGCUGACAUACCGCCCCACUGCUGCCUUCUCUCAUGUACUAAAAAAAUGACCCCACACUGUUAGGGAGGGACAGUUACUGUUCUAGUUCUCAUUUUGCAGAUGAAGAAUUUGAGACUCAGAGGUGUCUAGUUUAAAAUCACUCUGCUUUCAGGUAGCUGAGCCAGAAUCCCAAGUGUUUGACCUCACAGUCAUGCAUGUUAACCGUCCAACUGUCCUGCUUUUGCAUCUUUUUGUAUGGAGGAAAGGAACUAUCUCUUAAUUUAGUUUUGGAGUUUUCGAUCCUGGAAUCAUGCUUGAAUAAAAUUGAAACUUUGUUCUGCCUAUUUUAAUGCAGAAUUUGAAAUUUUGAAAAGUGUAUUCAUUAUUACUUAGAACUAUGGGGAAGUAAAAAAACUCAAAGGAAAUCACAAACAGCAAAGUCACUUCCUUUUGAUAAAAGUAAGAGUUUAUGGCAUUGACCAGUAAUUUUAUAUUUUACUAAUACAAAAGGAUAAAACAAGUUUAUGGUAGAACAUAAUGAUUUUACUUGAGCUAUUUGGUUAAUUUGUCUUCUGCCUGUUUAGGCUCCUAUUUCUUAUGUCCACAUAAAGGCAAAAACAUUUUCUUUUAACUUACUGAAUAGAUGCUUUAUGAAAAUGACUGAAUAAAGUAGGAUUAGGAAAGCAACCAGAAAGCAAUUUUAAUUUAGCUGAAGAAACAUGAAAUGGGGAGUAAUACUCAAAUAACCUAAAAGCAAUUCUGUUAGAUCAUUAGGUGGCCCAUUUAAACUCAGCACAUUUAUGCAGCAUAUCCUUAAAAGUAUCAUCUUUUUAAACCAUUUGGUCAUAAUGUAAAGCUCAUUAUCAUAAACCACAGCAAUUCAUGAAAAUUCCAAAGCAGAUGUAGAAAGAUAAAUAUGGAUGGAAAUAUUUCCAGUUAUCUGAAAUUCGCUUUUCUAGUAAAAUCCAUUUGUCAGAACUUAUCUGCAAAGCACAAGGCUUGUAAAUACCGGCCUUAUUCUUCAAAAAGAAAUUUCACAGUGUUUACAUGUUAAAAUUUUUGUGCUCAUAGAACAGGUACACCAAGUCCUUGGCCAGAGCACAUUUCCUCCUAGCACAUCUAACACAAUUAUUUAUUGCUUUCUUCAGCUCACCACUCAUUAAAAGCAACAAAUUAAUAGAGAAGGCUUGUGCUGUAACUAAAAGCAAAUAUAUUGCUAGCAACAAACAGAACUUCCACAUAGGAGGAGAUAGAAGUAAAUCUUAAAGUAUAAUUUAAUGUCAAACAGUAGGGAUGUAGCAGUCUAGAAAGCAGUGGCUUUUGUAGACAAAUAGUUCCAUAUAUAAAAUCUCCAUCUACCACCCAUUUAUUAGCUAUGUAAUCCUUGGCAAGUUGUUUAAAAUCUCAGAGUGUCUGUUUCAUUGUUUGUAAAAUGAAAAUAAUACAAUAUAACUGGCCAAAUCGUUGUAGGAAUUAAAUGAAAUUAUUGUGCAAAUGGCCUGGUCAAUUUUUGUUUCAUUCUCAGGCCCCAAAUUCUCCAUGAACACUCAUAACUAAUUGGACCCUUAAGUACUUUGGGCUCAUAAUAAUAAUUGAUUCUGGAUCAUUAUGAAAAAUAUUUAAGCUAUGUCCAACAUACUCUACUUAAGAAUUUAUGCCAAUAUAUAAUUCAUGUUAGAAAAACAUCAGAAUGAUUAUUAAGUCAUCCCUGAAUGGGUUACCUAGUUCAUUUUUAUUUUUAUUAUUUUGCUCUUGGCCCCACCAUCUGGGGACCUGUGCUCCACAGUGACUUCCUUCCAGGACCUAUUACAGAGCAGCCCAUGUCUUAAAUGUUGCCAAGCCACCAUCACUAGGGAAAUGAAAGCUCUGGAAAGUCUUCACCAGCAAUUAAGUGCUCUAGCCCUGAAGUGACACAUCACUUCUACUCAUGAAUACACCAUGGUCACAUGGCCUCAUCCAACCACAGGGGUCAGGAGGUCCAAUCCUACCAUAAGCCUAAUAUGUGGAAGACUGGAACUAUUUGGGGAACAGCCCUAGUGACUUACCUCAAAAGAGACUGAUGUAUAAGCCAAGUAGCCAAUGUACUUAUUUAUAAGGAGAAAAUUCAGGAUGGAUCAGACUGGACACUAACAUUCACUUAUUAAAAAAUUGUUUCCUUUACCAUCUAAUUAAAGUAGGGAAUAUUUAUUACUAGGGACUGCUGGAGUUGGCUUUUCAGGGAACACUCUUACUGCUGUCAGAGCUCAGAAGUUGGAAAGUUGCUUGGUAGGUGCAGGAUCAGAUCACAGGGAAUUGGAUAAUUUAGGGGAAUGGUUCAUCCAUAUUUUGGUAAAGGUUAGUGAACUUUGCCCCACAACAGACAACAAUUUGGAGUGUAAUUCCAGAUUCAAAGUCUCUCUUUUGCAGUUGUGGUGAAUAAUUAUUGGCAAAUUUUAUAUCCCAACUUCUGUUUUACCCUCUUCAACCUGCCUCAUCUUUGUUAGACAGAUUUCCCUCAAGUUCAUUAAUGCCUUUAAUGAGGCCCAAUUCAAGCCCUGAUAUUUCUGCUUUCAUAUUUUUGUUUGUUGGUUGUUUUGUUUUGGCCAAGGUAUAUUUUUUUGAAAAGUGGCUUCUGUAU